AUUAUUUCUAGGGAAAUUUAUCAAUUCAUACCUAUAAGUUUGACGAACGGAAUAUUUCACUAUAGGUUGUUUUGAUAUAUUUCAAAACCAUAAUGUUGCGUAGUUUAAUGGACUACUACGAAUUUGAUUAAAAACUGAUAGCUUAAAUGAAACGGAUAAUAUAUUAGAUAGGUCGACUCUUAGAUAUUAUACUGUUAUUUGAAAAUUUUCCCUUCUUUCAAUACAAAAGACAUUAAUCACAAAUGACUGGAACAUACAGAUCAAAAACCAUUUUUAUGCCAAAUAAAAUAAUCCCUAAAUGAAGGGAAAUUACAAGUGGGUCACUUAGAAAUUCUUAUCUCGAUACAAUGAAACUAAUCAUUUCAAUGAAGAAAAUUAAGGAUAGAUCACUAAUCCUUUCUACACAAAAUAAAAUAAUCAGUAAAAUGGGGGGAAACUACAGAUGGAUCAUUAAGAAAUUUAAAAAAUUCUUUCUACUCAACCGACAGUAGUCAAUAAAUAAAGGGAAAUUACAGAUGGGUUCACUUAGAGAUUUAAAAAUUCUUCCUAAAUAAAAGAAAAUAAUCACUAAACAUAGGAAAUUUUAGAUUGGUCACUUAGAAAUUCAAUGUAAAUUCUAAAUAUGUUAUAAUGUUAGACAAGGACUUGGAGGCGCAUUAUUUUGACAAAAAAGAAAACUAGAAUUAAACAGAGGCUACUGAGAAUGGAGAGGUGCCAUUUAGCCUUUCAUUUACAGGUUUGAAGCUUGAACGAAAGAGAACCCAUACCCACUAUUCUCCUUUAUUUAUUUUUAUUCUUUUUAGAAAUCACCAAUUACAUUAAUUCAAACCAUCAUAAUCUGAUUUGAUGGUCGAAUUUCAAGACAUUCAACAUAAAAAUAAUAAAUAAAUAAAAAAGGACAAACUUUUGAAAAGAAAUAAGAACAACAAAAAAAACCCAAAAAUGCCAUCAAUUACCUGCAAUUGUUUCAAGCUUUUCAACCAGGAAUUAUAUCAGUAAAAUCCAUCACGAACCAUGAAAAUUCAAAAAAAAGAAAGAGAGAGAGAGACAGAACGGAAAGAAAGAAAUGCCAUAGUGUUAUCUGCAAUGAAUUCUUCUUACAACAUCCAAACAAACCCUAGAAGUUUUAUCACAGAGAACCAUCCCUAAAAUAUUACAUCUCUAAAACCUUGGAUAUGACGAAGCGAUAAAAUCCAACAAAAAAAAAUCAAUGAAUUCCAAUCAAUUAUCUGGACACAAAGAAGAUAAGGCAUC
rnacentral:lncRNA from 1 species